rnacentral:misc_RNA from 1 species
GAUGAAGAACGUAGUGAAAUGCGAUACUUGGUGUGAAUUGCAGAAUCCCGUGAACCAUCGAGUCUUUGAACGCAAGUUGCGCCCGAAGCCUUUAGGCCGAGGGCACGCCUGCCUGGGCGUCACACGCCGUUGCCCCCCCCGCGCCUCCCUCGGGAGCGUCGGGGGGCGGACGAUGGCCUCCCGUGCGUCACCCCGCGCGGCUGGCACAAAUGCCGGGUCCUCGGCGACGAACGCCACGACAAUCGGUGGUUGUCGAACCUCGGUUGCCCGUUGUGCGCUUUCGUCGCGCUCCGAUCGGCCCGCGACGCUCCCCGCUCCGCUUCGGCCGAGCUUUCGACGCGACCCCAGGUCAGGCGGGGUUACCCGCUGAAUUUAAGCAUAUCAAUAAGCGGAGGA